GUGACACUGAGGAGGAGGGUGUGUACUUCAAGACCAGCAGACAGAAUGAGAGCUUGUUCCCUGUAUGUGGUGCAGGUUGAUACAGCAAGAGGGGUGUGUGGGUGUGUGGGGAACGGCGGGUGCGGUGCUGAAAAUCACCGCAGCAGAGAGAGGCUGGCUUGGGCUGAGUGCUGUGCCUCUGUGACUCAUGUUGUUCGCCCUACACACUUCUACCCUCCCUUCCCUCACCUCUGCCCCACUUCAGCUGAGAACCGCUGCUCUAGACUGCUCUCGUGUGAGGGCCUCCUAGGAGACAGAGUUCUUAUGGGGCAACAUGGCACCUUUGAUUGAAAGUGAGUAACACAGACCCUGCCCUCUGAGGAAACAAGAACUAACCAUACCUCGGUAGAUUUCCACAGAUGGAAAACGCACAGAGAGAAGCAGAACAAACUCAAGUGGAUUGGGAUAUGAUUUCAGCCUCAGUGACCAACUUUUUCCUCCAAGUAACUGCUUGAAGAUAGGAAGUAAAAAUGGUAAUUACUACGAACUCUUUUCAUCAACAAGAGGCCACGGGUCAAAAAAAUAUUUUGAUGGCCCUUAAGAAAAGAGACCUACCAGUUGCAAACCUUCUAAAAUAGAAGGGCCUUAGGCAAGUGAAUACUGGUUUCCUCUCCUUUCCACCCACUCUUCACUGGCAUCAGUUUCUUAUUUUGCUUUCACACGUUAGUGCUCUCUCACAGUAUGUAAAACAGGAAAAGACCAAUUCAGAAAGCUCACUGCCAUCUACAUAAAUCAAAGCUCUAAUGAUCUAAAGAGGGAUGUGAAAUGAGAAGAAAAGCAGAAAAGGAAAAGAGCUGGUUGAAGGCUAAGCUGUCCUGUCAUUUAUGUAUGCACAUGAUACGACAGUAAUAAAAGACUUUAAACCUGCUGA